rnacentral:rRNA from 1 species
UACGGGGGGGGGCAAGCGUUGUUCGGAAUUACUGGGCGUAAAGCGCGCGCAGGCGGUCUUCCAAGUCAGUGGUGAAAGCCCGGAGCUCAACUCCGGAACUGCCAUUGAAACUGUUAGACUUGAGGACGAGAGAGGUGAGUGGAAUUCCCAGUGUAGAGGUGAAAUUCGUAGAUAUUGGGAAGAACACCGGUGGCGAAGGCGGCUCACUGGCUCGUAUCUGACGCUCAGGCGCGAUAGCGUGGGGAUCAAACAGG